rnacentral:tRNA from 1 species
GUGGUCUUAGUGUAGUGGUCUGCACGGGUGUCUGUGAAACACCAAGUCGAUGUUCGAUCCAUCGAUUCCACC